UUGAUUAUUGGACCGGGUCACCGGGUGAGGUGGGGUGGGGUGCGAUUUGUAUUAUUUUCAUAAAGGCAUUAAAGGGUGUGAGACACAUUAUAAUAUGACUCUAAUGUUUAUAAAGAUAUAAUUUAAGAAUGAAACGUGCGUGAAAUAAGAAUGUCAAUUUUCGCCAAUGCUGUUACUUUAUUGAUCUUGAAGUUUGAAGAUUUAGAUAAGACUGAGGGGCAGACUGGCUAUAUCAUAUAGAUCUGACUAUAUCGUCAGUAUUUGGGCAUUUGCCUGAUUUGGGCAAAUACCAGAUCUACAUGAGUUACUGAGUAUAAUCUACUAUCUACUUCAAAGUUUAGCAAGUUCAUUGAAGCUGGAAAAUUCAAAAUGUCUCUGUAUCGCAAUGCAGUUUGGCUUGUGAAAGGCCUUAAAGAAUAUACUAA
rnacentral:sRNA from 1 species